UUAAGCGACUAAGCGUACACGGUGGAUGCCCUGGCAGUCAGAGGCGAUGAAGGACGUGCUAAUCUGCGAAAAGCGUCGGUAAGGUGAUAUGAACCGUUAUAACCGGCGAUGUCCGAAUGGGGAAACCCAGUGUGAUUCGUCACACUAUCGUUAACUGAAUACAUAGGUUAACGAGGCGAACCGGGGGAACUGAAACAUCUAAGUACCCCGAGGAAAAGAAAUCAACCGAGAUUCCCCCAGUAGCGGCGAGCGAACGGGGAGCAGCCCAGAGUCUGAAUCAGCUUGUGUGUUAGUGGAACGGUCUGGAAAGUCCGACGGUACAGGGUGAUAGUCCCGUACACCAAAAUGCACANGCUGUGAACUCGAAGAGUAGGGCGGGACACGUGGUAUCCUGUCUGAAUAUGGGGGGACCAUCCUCCAAGGCUAAAUACUCCUGACUGACCGAUAGUGAACCAGUACCGUGAGGGAAAGGCGAAAAGAACCCCGGCGAGGGGAGUGAAAAAGAACCUGAAACCGUGUACGUACAAGCAGUGGGAGCACCUUCGGGUGUGACUGCGUACCUUUUGUAUAAUGGGUCAGCGACUUAUAUUCUGUAGCAAGGUUAACCGUAUAGGGGAGCCGCAGGGAAACCGAGUCUUAACUGGGCGUUAAGUUGCAGGGUAUAGACCCGAAACCCGGUGAUCUAGCCAUGGGCAGGUUGAAGGUUGGGUAACACUAACUGGAGGACCGAACCGACUAAUGUUGAAAAAUUAGCGGAUGACUUGUGGCUGGGGGUGAAAGGCCAAUCAAACCGGGAGAUAGCUGGUUCUCCCCGAAAGCUAUUUAGGUAGCGCCUCGUGAANUCAUCUUCGGGGGUAGAGCACUGUUUCGGCUAGGGGGUCAUCCCGACUUACCAACCCGAUGCAAACUACGAAUACCGAAGAAUGUUAUCACGGGAGACACACGGCGGGUGCUAACGUCCGUCGUGAAGAGGGAAACAACCCAGACCGCCAGCUAAGGUCCCAAAGUCAUGGUUAAGUGGGAAACGAUGUGGGAAGGCACAGACAGCCAGGAUGUUGGCUUAGAAGCAGCCAUCAUUUAAAGAAAGCGUAAUAGCUCACUGGUCGAGUCGGCCUGCGCGGAAGAUGUAACGGGGCUAAACCAUGCACCGAAGCUGCGGCAGCGACACUAUGUGUUGUUGGGUAGGGGAGCGUUCUGUAAGCCUGCGAAGGUGACCUGUGAGGGUUGCUGGAGGUAUCAGAAGUGCGAAUGCUGACAUAAGUAACGAUAAAGCGGGUGAAAAGCCCGCUCGCCGGAAGACCAAGGGUUCCUGUCCAACGUUAAUCGGGGCAGGGUGAGUCGACCCCUAAGGCGAGGCCGAAAGGCGUAGUCGAUGGGAAACAGGUUAAUAUUCCUGUACUUGGUGUUACUGCGAAGGGGGGACGGAGAAGGCUAUGUUAGCCGGGCGACGGUUGUCCCGGUUUAAGCAUGUAGGCUGGUUGUCCAGGCAAAUCCGGAUAAUCAAGGCUGAGGUGUGAUGACGAGGCACUACGGUGCUGAAGUAACAAAUGCCCUGCUUCCAGGAAAAGCCUCUAAGCAUCAGGUAACAUNAAAUCGUACCCCAAACCGACACAGGUGGUCAGGUAGAGAAUACCAAGGCGCUUGAGAGAACUCGGGUGAAGGAACUAGGCAAAAUGGUGCCGUAACUUCGGGAGAAGGCACGCUGGUGUGUAGGUGAAGUCCCUGCGGAUGGAGCUGAGACCAGUCGAAGAUACCAGCUGGCUGCAACUGUUUAUUAAAAACACAGCACUGUGCAAACACGAAAGUGGACGUAUACGGUGUGACGCCUGCCCGGUGCCGGAAGGUUAAUUGAUGGGGUUAUCCGUAAGGAGAAGCUCUUGAUCGAAGCCCCGGUAAACGGCGGCCGUAACUAUAACGGUCCUAAGGUAGCGAAAUUCCUUGUCGGGUAAGUUCCGACCUGCACGAAUGGCGUAAUGAUGGCCAGGCUGUCUCCACCCGAGACUCAGUGAAAUUGAACUCGCUGUGAAGAUGCAGUGUACCCGCGGCAAGACGGAAAGACCCCGUGAACCUUUACUAUAGCUUGACACUGAACAUUGAGCCUUGAUGUGUAGGAUAGGUGGGAGGCUUUGAAGCGUGGACGCCAGUCUGCGUGGAGCCAACCUUGAAAUACCACCCUUUAAUGUUUGAUGUUCUAACGUUGGCCCCUUACCGGGGUUGCGGACAGUGUCUGGUGGGUAGUUUGACUGGGGCGGUCUCCUCCCAAAGCGUAACGGAGGAGCACGAAGGUUAGCUAAUCCUGGUCGGACAUCAGGAGGUUAGUGCAAUGGCAUAAGCUAGCUUGACUGCGAGCGUGACGGCGCGAGCAGGUGCGAAAGCAGGUCAUAGUGAUCCGGUGGUUCUGAAUGGAAGGGCCAUCGCUCAACGGAUAAAAGGUACUCCGGGGAUAACAGGCUGAUACCGCCCAAGAGUUCAUAUCGACGGCGGUGUUUGGCACCUCGAUGUCGGCUCAUCACAUCCUGGGGCUGAAGUAGGUCCCAAGGGUAUGGCUGUUCGCCAUUUAAAGUGGUACGCGAGCUGGGUUUAGAACGUCGUGAGACAGUUCGGUCCCUAUCUGCCGUGGGCGCUGGAGAAUUGAGGGGGGCUGCUCCUAGUACGAGAGGACCGGAGUGGACGCAUCACUGGUGUUCGGGUUGUCAUGCCAAUGGCACUGCCCGGUAGCUAAAUGCGGAAGAGAUAAGUGCUGAAAGCAUCUAAGCACGAAACUUGCCCCGAGAUGAGUUCUCCCUGAGACUUUAAGUCUCCUGAAGGAACGUUGAAGACGACGACGUUGAUAGGCCGGGUGUGUAAGCGCAGCGAUGCGUUGAGCUAACCGGUACUAAUGAACCGUGAGGCUUAACCUU
rnacentral:rRNA from 1 species